CGCCGGGGCAGCGGCGGGAGCUGCUCCCCCGGGGCUCUCCCGGUCCCGGGAUUCCGGGAUGCCGCUCCCCGCCUCAGCUGCGCCGCGCUCUGCUCUGGGGCGGAGCCGCCCCACCUGCGCGGGCCUGCCCGGCCCCGGCGAGCCGCUGCCUGCACGCCCGCCGGGGCCCGCCGCGGAACUCGGGCUUUGAGGCGCUUUUAUGGUUUAUUUUCUGCUUCUGUAAAUAAAAUCCCCAACAGACACCGUCCAGCAGACGGGCGUGGCCAGGGCGUACGCGUCCCUGUUUUCGUUUCCAGGCAGCGCCUCGGGAUUCACGAUGUGAAUCAUGCUGCUGUUUGACAUGUAAACAGCAGUAAAAGCCGCUCUCUUUCUAAACACUGGGAGUUUCAAAGUCGGCGAACCUGAUGGGCCAGUGCACCGGAUCCCCCGCAGGGGUCCGCCUUUUGGAGGAUCUUUGCCACCGGGAACAGCUUCCUGGGAAACCCCCGCGGGAGCCGCGUGUGACCCGGGAUGGGCGGAGAGGGAUUCACCUGUCCUGUGCCUUGGCCAUGCCCCAGCAAGCCCCGAUGCCGGGAUGUGUCGUAAUUUUAGAGUUUGCUAAUGAGCUUGCCUGUACGCCCUGCGCACCCGGUGUGCCUGGGGAUUGGCAGUUCAGGCUGGUAAUCCUGCUAACUUGGCCUUGGCAGGCGGGGAUGGCUCCUUUCAGUGUUCUGGGAUUGAGAUCUGGCUUCUUGCUGUGCACAGGGAAUGGCCGUGGAUGAGUAAAAUGAGGGAGAAAAUUAUCUUUGCUAACUCUUUUCAAUUCUGCCUUGGUGGUGCUUGUCUGCAUGCUUCCCUCUGCUAGCUCAGGUGGAUCCAACGUUUGCUGGGAAAGUAGUGAUAAAACUUUAAACUUCCAGUAAGCAGCACCUCUCUGAUAGUUAUUUAAAGCCUCUGUCUGCAUUGUUCCAGAACCAUUUCCUUUUUCCUCUAAGCAACCUAGAGUGGGAAGCUGACAAUCCCUCAGGUAGCCUGGUUCCACCUCGCUGGAAGCCACGCCUGAUGCUGGGUUGGAGGCCAGCAGAGCCCACGGAGGGUGAGAGAAGGGCUCCUCCUUCCUGCCUUUUGUGGAGCUGGCCAAAGAUAACACUCCUGGGCUGGUCCGGGCAGCACAGACCUUUUUGUCUUUACUCACAUAUUCCACUUUCAGGUCAGAAGAUUGGCAUUGAUGAGGCUGUAAAAUAGAUGUGCUUGCUGGAGAUAUCCUUCUUUACCCUUUGAAGUGCUCAGAAGCAUUCCCACUGAUUUCAGUGGAAAAGCUCCUUUGUCUGACGUGCUUCUCCGCGUGCCAAUCAGUAUUUUGCACUGACUGGAAGGGAAGGGGCAAGGCACUGCUUUAUGAUGAAUGUUUUUAGACUUGGCCAUUUUAAACAGUACAUGCAAUUUUCAGAUCAGUAAUUUGUAGUUGUUUGUCAGUUUGUUUUUAAGAACAGAUCCAGCAUCUUUGAUAUGGCUAUGGCUAAAAAUGAACAUAAAAAUACCCAGUUAUGACUGAAAAUUUUGCACUGUGAAAGCAAGAGUUAUUCCUGCAGUAGCAAAUAUGGCCUGCAGAGCAACAGAAAUGAGCUGAAAGCAAGAUGUUGAAAUCAAAUUGUAGGCCAGGUUUUUUGCCAGUGUCCUUCACAGUGCCAGUGGCGACCUGGAGUCCAGCAUUAUGUGAACACUUGCAUUUGGAGCCCAUCUCAGUCAUGCAGGGAAUCACUUUCCAAAAGCAGUUUUCCUGCCAACAGGGUUUGUUUGCUUGGUGAUAAGAAACAAUGGUCAACUCAGUUUGUUACUUGAGCAUUUUAGUGACUGAGGAGUCUGGCAUCCUGUACUAGAUCCAUUUUCUUAGCUACUCAAAUGCCAGCUUGGCAGCCUAUCUAGGAAGCUGAUAGCACUGGGACAGGCGUGAUUGUGGAGGUUGUUUUCAACAGUUUCUAGUAAGUCUGUUUUUAAGACACCUCUUUCCUUUUUUUCCUUUCCUGGGGAAAAAAAAAUCACAGUUACCACCUUCUUGAUUGGGAGGUCUGGAUGAGAGAGAGGAGGGAGACAUGGGCAUGCAGCUUAAUAUCCUACUUUUCAAAGUGCCUUAAAAACAGGACUGGGUUUAGUUUUGAGUAAGGCUGGUAUUUAUUCACUAGAAUGGUGUUGGCUAUAGUUAAGAGGAGGGAAAAGCAUUUCAUAGAGGACCUAAUGCCCCUUGUUGUGUUGGCAGAAAAACAACAAGAAAAAAUGUGAAUUUUCCAGUUACAGAUGAGGCAUCUAAUCUCUUCUGCUAAAGAAAGCAGAGUUAUACCCCAUUUUUUGACCUUUUUGGCCUCAUGUGUUCAAGCACCCAUUCAUUUCCCUCACAGGCCUUUCGAGUUGCCAGGAAUAGCUGGGAAGCUGUUUGCCAAAACCCUUCCAUCUGGGAAAAGCACCGUGCAUUUGCAGUGGGACUGUGCUGAGUCAGUGCAUUAUCUUGGUGCCAUUCCACGGGGCUGAAGAAGUCAGAACAAGACUGUCCUUGUGCCCAGGUCUCAAGUUGUGUCCCCAUGGCAUGAAGCUUCCCAGAGUCCUGAGGCUCGAUGUUGGGAUGAAACCCAGUGUUACUUGAGAAACCUUCAACGUGGUAUCCAUGGAGAGGACAACGCGCUCUAGAUACUCCGAGUGCAGCAGACAGCCGAGAUGUGCAUUGUUGGAAUCCAGAGGGUUUUGUAAUUUGGCAAGCGCUUGCUGAAAGCCCUGCAGAUACAAAACAACACUUAUUUCAAGUCUUGAGAAACAUCUCCUACUAAGUAGAAGAAAAAAGCAUUUAGGUGAAGCAAUGUUGCCAGUCCCAUUUGUUUGUGAGGCUUGGUUUUUGUCUUUAUACAUUUUAAAUGCUUUUUAUUUUCCUUCUGCUCUUUAAGCCUUUCAAGUUCAUGUUUUCCAUAUGACAAGAAAGUCUGGAAUCAAGUCCUCACUUUAAAAAGCAAAAAUUUGGUUCAGAGUCCUGUGUAAUCAUGUAGCUCCAGACAUGGGGUGUUUAAAAAUAAAGCCACUUUGGUGAGAACUACCUAUCUUGAA